AGAGGUAAAAGUCAAAAAUCUCAUCCAAGUGAUCAAAAGCCAAGUAAAGGCAAGGAUUAAAGUCACUAGGCAUGAGAAACAUCACAAAUGCCAAACCAACUUGGAAAAGGUGACACAACCAAGACAAAGAACACAUGAUCCCUCAAGAAGAGGCAGAAAGGGCUCAACACGAAUCAUGUGACGAUCGAAGAUCAAAUUUAAACACUGGCUCCUCAAGAAGAGGUAAAAAGCUCAAUGCGACCGACAAAGUAUCACAAGAGCAUACACAAGCUCAAAUCAAAACACCGACUCCUCAAGAAGAGGUAAACAGCUCAACACGACCGGCAAACGAGCACAAGAGCAAAGAACUCACACAGACUCGACUUCCCCUGAAAUCAAGACUCCCCCUGAACAAAUGCACUCCCCCUGAAAAUGUACUCCCCCUGAAAUCAAGGCAUGCAAAUUUCU
rnacentral:lncRNA from 1 species